UCAGAGUGUAGCUAAGUAGUAAAGCAUCUCCCUUACACCGAGAAGACACCCGUGCAAAUCGGGCCACCCUGAG
rnacentral:tRNA from 1 species